ensembl:misc_RNA Metazoa_SRP Metazoan signal recognition particle RNA
AAUGGCACGUGCUUGCAGUCCCAGCUACUUGGGACUGGGGUAGGAGGAUCACUUGAGCCCAGGAGUUCUGGGCUAUUGGGUGCUAUAUUAAGUCGGGUGUCCACAUUAAGUCUGGCAUCAGUCUGAUGACCUCCUGGGAGUAAAGGACCACCAAGUUGCCUAAGGAGGGAUGAACCAGCCCAGGCAGGAAAUGGAUCUGAUGAUCAGUCGUGGAAUUGCGCCUGUGAACAGCCACUGUAUUCCAGCCUGGGCAACACAGCGAGAUCCUGUCUCUC